CACACCAGAGUGCUCAGACUUCCCCACUUCAGCUGAAACAGUGAUCUUGGCUGCUUGGGAUAACGGUGACAUUACUCGAGGGGUUCAUUCACUCCGGAGAUGCCAGGAUGGUGCGAAGGUUUGUCCAGAGACCUGCCUUUGUAACACAGUUGCAGGCGAAGAAGUUCUAAUGGCAGAAUUGACAGGUCUAUUUAAAGUCGAAGCUUGCCGAAACAGUCUGCCAGACAUGCCGAAUUAAACUUAAUUCCAUGCUUGCACUUCUAACUACGAGGAAGACGGUGCCCAGCUGGAUGUAAUGAACCCUGUGCUGCA
rnacentral:lncRNA from 1 species